CAGUUGAAAUCUCCACUAAUCAACCAAGCAUCUUGACUGGGAAUAUAGAUUGAUCUAAGGUCACUCCACAAUUGGCUCCUGAGAAGUGCAGUAUUAUAGGCAUAUACAACACUUAGUUGGAUUUUGGCCUGGCUUCUUGUAUCUUCUAAAAGGCAAUGAAUAAGCUGAUCAGUAAUAGAGGAUAUUUGGAUCUGGAUGUGUGGUCUCCAAAGCAACCAAAUUCUCCCAUUAGCAGCCUUUGAAUAAUUUCACUGAACCUUCCAAUCUUUAGCUACCUUAUCAAUUAUCUUCUUGGCUUUAUGCUCCUUAACUCUAGUUUCUACUACUCCCAUGACAUCCACCUUAUUAACAGCUAGGAAGUUUUUCAACUCCUUCUAUUUAUGAGGCUGGUUAAGCCCCCUAAUGUUCCAUGUGACUAUAAUCAUGGGGAAAUAGGGGUUAAUCUGUGAGAGGGUCCCAGAUCAAUCUGCUGAACCCUAUUACCAUUCACAAUCAUAGUAGCCUUCCCUUGAUUGUAAUUCUCAACCAAUUGUUCACUGUUACCAUUGGUUGCAUUGACUGCAAUAACUGCAAAUUCAGGUCUCACUUGGCUCACAGGAAUAGUUUGUGCA
rnacentral:lncRNA from 1 species